AACCGCAAAUACUCAGAGAUGCUGGGUACCACUAAGAGGAGCAAGUAAGUGUUGGGGAAAUGGAAAAGAAAGAAACAGAAGGCUGUGGGCUCAAUGAAGAGAGGCCGAACUUGAGAGGAGUGAGGAAUAGUCUGAUUGAAAACCAACAAUAACAGCAACAACGACCCUUUCCUCCCCAACUGAUUUUGGUCCUGGUGCUUAUAACAAGAACAGAAAGCAAAAAUUGGAGAAUAUUUCAGGCUAAGAAAACAGGAACUGUGGAAGCUCUGAGUGGGAACAGAAAUUAUGGUUGGAAGAAACAAUGAUGCGAAUGGUAGAGCAUAUCCAUGGAAACAGAGUAAAGGAGAAACAGUGUGUUGGGGCAGAUAAAGUGUACCUUAGUAUUAUAACCUAAUCAGGUUCACUGAGAACUGCCAUACCUCAGUCGCCUAAACUCUGAGAUUACAACCUGGGAUUAGAAUUUGGCUCUCUGUUUCUCACACAAACAAAUUUGUAGGUCUUCCAUCGUCUCCCAUGAUACACGUGAGUGUUGAAUAACCUUGGAGAACAUAGCCAGCAUCACAGUAAUAGCUACUGUGAGGUGAGCAACUCAAUGUCUGCAGCAAAGGCUCCGAUCCUGCCUAGGACUGGAAAACUCUGAAGCCAUGAUUAAUGUAAAACUUUUCUUCUUUAAAGCAAAUCUGUUGAUAUUUUGACAUACCAAUUUAAAAAAAAACAAUCUGACAUACAGAUAGUACAUUUUUA